UCGGGAAUUUUGGGCAAUGGGCGAAAGCCUGACCCAGCAACGCCGCGUGAGGGAUGAAGUAUUUCGGUAUGUAAACCUCGAAAGAAUGGGAAGAAUAAAUGACGGUACCAUUUAUAAGCUCCGGCUAACUACGUGCCAGCAGCCGCGGUAAUACGUAGGGAGCAAGCGUUGUUCGGAUUUCCUGGGCGUAAAGGGCGCGUAGGCGGCGCGGUAAGUCACUUGUGAAAUCUCUGAGCUUAACUCAGAACGGCCAAGUGAUACUGCUGUGCUAGAGUGCGGAAGAGGCAACCGGAAUUCUUGGUGUAGCGGUGAAAUGCGUAGAUAUCAAGAGGAACACCUGAGGCGAAGGCGGGUUGCUGGGCCGACACUGACGCUGAUGCGCGAAAGCCAGGGGAGCAAACG
rnacentral:rRNA from 1 species